rnacentral:rRNA from 1 species
UACGUAGGGUGCGAGCGUUAAUCGGAAUUACUGGGCGUAAAGCGUGCGCAGGCGGUUCGCCAAGUCAGGUGUGAAAUCCCCGGGCUUAACCUGGGAAUUGCGCUUGAAACUAGCGGGCUUGAGUGUGGCAGAGGGGGGGUGGAAUUCCACGUGUAGCAGUGAAAUGCGUAGAGAUGUGGAGGAACACCAGUGGCGAAGGCGACUUUCUGGGCUGUAACUGACGCUGAGGCGCGAAAGCGUGGGGAGCAAACAGG